UAUUCAAACCUUCUUGGACAAUUAUCGUUCGUUCCUCGACAAAUGUUUCCUCUUUCGGAUUUGUUAUGGGAUUUUAUUGGCCAUGUGUUGGGAUUGGCGCGAAAAGCGUAGCUUUUUUUUGGCUCUGUUCCGUUGCUAAUUUGUUUACCUGCGAGAACCGGGGAGAGAAAUCGCUCUUGUUUAUUUUCAACAGCAUUUUUGGUACCAGUUCGAGAAUAACGAAAACAACGACAGACCAGCGGAAAUUUAAAGAAAUCUGUAUAUUUUUGGGGUCGCGAGUUUUCAAUUCAUGGAAACACGAAAUCAAAAGUGGAGGGGGGAAAAAGUGGUAAAUCAAAUCAAAUGUUUAACACAUGGAGCCGUGAGUCUCGAAUGGCAAAUGAAGCAAAAAUAAUUAUUCUGAUGGCCAGAAAAAAAUGGCACAAAGUGGCACACUGAAAUUUCAAUGGACCGUUGGUUGAAUGAACAGAAAAGUUGUUACAAAAAGGUGCACAUUCCUCUUGCCCCUUGCCCCAAAAAACCCAUAAACCAUUUACCGAUGCCCAUAAUUAUUGAAUGCUUUUUGUUUCGGGACAUAAAACUUGUAGCGCUUCAUCAGAAAUGUUUCUCAAUCUCAAGUUCAAGUCGCAGCUUCAAGUUCGAGCGAUUUGGAGGUGUGGAAAAGGGGGGAA